rnacentral:rRNA from 1 species
AUACGGAGGGUGCAAGCGUUACUCGGAAUCACUGGGCGUAAAGCGCGCGCAGGCGGGCUGAUAAGUUGGAUGUGAAAGCCUACGGCUCAACCGUAGAACUGCAUCCAAAACUGUCAGUCUAGAGUCUGGGAGGGGAAGAUGGAAUUAGUUGUGUAGGGGUAAAAUCCGUAGAGAUAACUAGGAAUACCAAAAGCGAAGGCGAUCUUCUGGAACAGUACUGACGCUGAGGCGCGAAAGCGUGGGGAGCAAACAGGAUUAGAUACCCUGGUAGUCC